GCUCGUUGCAUGGUAAAAACUGUCUGCCAGCCUUGUUGGGUUUCUGGCGAGCAAUACAACUAUUUGUUGGUUUACUACCGUCACCUACCGUGGGAUACAGUUCAGAGCAACAGAAUAAAUCCCCCCCACUGAUAACAGGGUCUAAACAGGUGUAGAUUUCCAUCUCUGUGUGGGAGACCAGAUAUUGCAAGGAGACCAGUAAGGGGCCCUCAACUCUUCACUUUGGCCAAAGGAGACCUAAGACCCCAAUACCAGUGACACUGCCCUAAGCCAUUUCCUGGAGCAGCUUCCUGCCGGUCUCGCUCAGGUUGGUGAUGGGAGCCAGGCGAGGGCUGUGGCGGUAUGGGAAGUUCUCUGUUCGGGGCGGAGCGAUAAUGACAGGGUUGAGAGGAGUCCGAGGCCUUGG